GGAUGCGAUCAUAUCAGCACUAAAGCACUGGAUCCCAUUAGAACUCCGAAGUUAAGCGUGCUUGGGCGAGAGUAGUACUAGAAUGGGUGACCUCUUGGGACGUCCUCGUGUUGCAUUCC
rfam:Zea mays cultivar B73 chromosome 2, whole genome shotgun sequence.